rnacentral:rRNA from 1 species
UACGUAGGGUGCAAGCGUUAUCCGGAAUUAUUGGGCGUAAAGAGCUCGUAGGCGGUUUGUCGCGUCUGCUGUGAAAACUGGAGGCUCAACCUCCAGCCUGCAGUGGGUACGGGCAGACUAGAGUGCGGUAGGGGAGAUUGGAAUUCCUGGUGUAGCGGUGGAAUGCGCAGAUAUCAGGAGGAACACCGAGUGGCGAAGGCAGAUCUCUGGGCCGUAACUGACGCUGAGGAGCGAAAGCAUGGGAGCGAACAGG